UGACUCUCGGCAACGGAUAUCUCGGCUCUCGCAUCGAUGAAGAACGUAGCGAAAUGCGAUACUUGGUGUGAAUUGCAGAAUCCCGUGAACCAUCGAGUUUUUGAACGCAAGUUGCGCCCGAAGCCGUUAGGCUGAGGGCACGUUUGCCUGGGCGUCGUAU
rnacentral:rRNA from 7 species